AUUGAACGCUGGCGGCAUGCCUUACACAUGCAAGUCGAACGGUAACAGGUCUUCGGAUGCUGACGAGUGGCGAACGGGUGAGUAAUACAUCGGAACGUGCCCGAUCGUGGGGGAUAACGAGGCGAAAGCUUUGCUAAUACCGCAUACGAUCUACGGAUGAAAGCGGGGGAUCUUUGGACCUCGCGCGGACGGAGCGGCCGAUGGCAGAUUAGGUAGUUGGUGGGAUAAAAGCUUACCAAGCCGACGAUCUGUAGCUGGUCUGAGAGGAUGAUCAGCCACACUGGGACUGAGACACGGCCCAGACUCCUACGGGAGGCAGCAGUGGGGAAUUUUGGACAAUGGGCGAAAGCCUGAUCCAGCCAUGCCGCGUGCAGGAUGAAGGCCUUCGGGUUGUAAACUGCUUUUGUACGGAACGAAAAGCCUCUUUCUAAUAAAGAGGGGUCAUGACGGUACCGUAAGAAUAAGCACCGGCUAACUACGUG
rnacentral:rRNA from 1 species